CCUACGGGUGGCAGCAGUGGAGAAUAUUGCACAAUGGGGGAAACCCUGAUGCAGCGACGCCGCGUGAAGGAAGAAGUAUUUCGGUAUGUAAACUUCUAUCAGCAGGGAAGAAAAUGACGGUACCUGAGUAAGAAGCCCCGGCUAACUACGUGCCAGCAGCCGCGGUAAUACGUAGGGGGCAAGCGUUAUCCGGAUUUACUGGGUGUAAAGGGAGCGUAGACGGCAGUGCAAGUCUGGAGUGAAAGGCGGGGGCUCAACCCCCGGACUGCUCUGGAAACUGUACGGCUGGAGUGCAGGAGAGGUAAGUGGAAUUCCUAGUGUAGCGGUGAAAUGCGUAGAUAUUAGGAGGAACACCAGUGGCGAAGGCGGCUUACUGGACUGUAACUGACGUUGAGGCUCGAAAGCGUGGGGAGCAAACAGGAUUAGAUACCCGUGUAGUC
rnacentral:rRNA from 1 species